rnacentral:rRNA from 1 species
AUUGAACGCUGGCGGCAUGCUUUACACAUGCAAGUCGAACGGUAACAGGCCGCAAGGUGCUGACGAGUGGCGAACGGGUGAGUAAUGCAUCGGAACGUGCCCAGUCGUGGGGGAUAACUACUCGAAAGAGUAGCUAAUACCGCAUACGAUCUAUGGAUGAAAGCGGUGGACCGUAAGGCCUCGCGCGAUUUGAGCGGCCGAUGUCAGAUUAGGUAGUUGGUGGGGUAAAGGCUCACCAAGCCAACGAUCUGUAGCUGGUCUGAGAGGACGACCAGCCACACUGGGACUGAGACACGGCCCAGACUCCUACGGGAGGCAGCAGUGGGGAAUUUUGGACAAUGGGCGCAAGCCUGAUCCAGCAAUGCCGCGUGCAGGAAGAAGGCCUUCGGGUUGUAAACUGCUUUUGUACGGAACGAAACGGCUCUGGUUAAUACCCGGGGCUAAUGACGGUACCGUAAGAAUAAGCACCGGCUAACUACGUG